UACGUAGGUGGCAAGCGUUGUCCGGAAUUAUUGGGCGUAAAGCGCGCGCAGGCGGUCCUUUAAGUCUGAUGUGAAAUCCCGGGGCUCAACCCCGGAACUGCCUUUGAUACUGCAAAUCUCGAGUCCGGAAGAGGUGAGUGGAAUUCCUGGUGUAGCGGUGAAAUGCGCAGAUAUCAGGAGGAACACCGAUGGCGAAGGCAGCUCGCUGGGACGGUACUGACGCUGAGACGCGAAAGCGUGGGGAGCAAACAGG
rnacentral:rRNA from 1 species